UGAGGAAUAUUGGACAAUGGGUGGAAGCCUGAUCCAGCCAUCCCGCGUGAAGGAUGACGGUUCUAUGGAUUGUAAACUUCUUUUGUACAGGGAUAAACCUGCCCUCGUGAGGGCAGCUGAAGGUACUGUACGAAUAAGCACCGGCUAACUCCGUGCCAGCAGCCGCGGUAAUACGGAGGGUGCGAGCGUUAUCCGGAUUUAUUGGGUUUAAAGGGUCCGUAGGCGGGCCUGUAAGUCAGUGGCGAAAUCUCAUAGCUUAACUAUGAAACUGCCAUUGAUACUGCAGGCCUUGAGUAAAUUUGAAGUGGCUGGAAUAAGUAGUGUAGCGGUGAAAUGCAUAGAUAUUACUUAGAACACCGAUUGCGAAGGCAGGUCACUAAGAUUUAACUGACGCUGAUGGACGAAAGCGUGGGGAGCGAACA
rnacentral:rRNA from 1 species